AGAGCAAAGCUUUAAGAAGUGGGGACCAUUCACAACAUUUCAACCUCAGUUUAACACUUAAAUAUGUGAAUAAAAUAUAGGUAACCAGGAAAAUAAAUCUCAGUGCUGCUGUUUUUCUAAUGUUGAUGACCAUGUCCGACAAUUUGAAUCUCAGUAGCUGAGGCACCCUCCCUUUAGGAGCCAUUAAAGCCACCUCCCCCAAUGUAAUCUAUCUUUUCUGCUGGAAAUCCUUUUUGCCCCCCACACGUAUCUCUGAGCCAUGCUCUCAUUCUGCUUUACACUUCAUAUGACUUUCUCUUUCUGCACCUGUGCCCUGGCUGGGAUGCUAUGGCAAGUUCCACCUCCCGGGAAUUCCCUGAUUUCCCCAACUCUCAUCACUUCUAGGUCACUUACUGUCAACACCCAUUUGUACCUGCCCUGAGCUAUCCUUUAAGGUUCAAGCCAACAGCCAUGUGGGCGAGACCUCCUGGAGGCAGAUUGUCUAGGCUCAAUCAAAGCACAGAAGACUGCAGCCCUAGCCAAUGUCUUAGACUGCAACCUCACAAGGGACCUUGAGCCAGAACCACCCAGCCACUCCUGGAUUCCUGACGCACAAAAAUGAUAUCAGAGGUGGUCAUCACAAUGUUAAUUGAUAAUAAAAGUUACCCUGUUACAAAGCACACAGUAUUGUACUAGAGAUAAGCUUGGAAAAUAUUGACAGUUGGAUUCAGUGUUUAGCAUAGAGUCUUAUUUAUAUUGCAUAUGGAAUCCUCAACACUGGCCAAUGCCAACACAUGGAAGAAGAGGCCCCUGCAGUAUUCACCACAGACAAGCAUGAGGGCACAUCCCUGAAAGGGCAAAGGGAGAAAAGACAGACUUCCUGGGCCUGGUCCCGAUGGUACUACCCGGCAUAUCUCUGCCCACAUCUCUGUGUUUACACGUUGACUUCAGUGAGUUUCCUGCAAGCUUGUUAUCAACAGGAUCCCAGCUGGUAAUUUACUCUGCCCUCUGCCAUUUAAUCAUUCCAACAGAACCUCACUUACGGCGUACCCUAGAUGACCUCACACCCCUUCACAGGCAGAAUUCUGUUCUGUUAUUCAUUCAAACAUUGUCUUCCCAAAGGAAAUUCCUAAGUACUUUAAUUAUGGUGGGGAGGGGGGCAGUAUGGAAAAAAGCUUGCUAAUCCCCAUUGUCAGUGUUCCUGAGACCUGGAGAAGCACAACUCCGGAGUCUUCAUUUUGUAGAUGGGAGACAGGCUUAGUAAGAUGUCCUAAAGCCUGAAGGUGGCCACCAGUUAGCUCCAGGAUUCUUUCUCUUUCUUGGGGGCCCAUGGAAUUGCAUAUGAACAUGUACACUGGGGUCAACAGCAUGGACUCCAAAUCCUGAUGCCACAAUUACUACACAAGAGAAUGUGGGCAAGUCAGAAACUUUCUGAGCCUCAGUUUCCUCACCUAAAAAAACAGAGAUAAUACCUAUAACUUGCAGGUGGUUGCAAAGGUAAAAUGAAAUAAAGAAAAAGUGUCCUAGACAGCAUGCAGCAAAGGGCUGGUGUUUGAUAAAUGCAAUUUACUGAAUGCAAUAAAUUAUAAUGAGCUGAAUGUAACAUAAUUAAAUUACAGUAUUGAAUUCUUA